GAUGAACGCUGGCGGCGUGCCUAAUACAUGCAAGUCGAGCGAACGGACGAGAAGCUUGCUUCUCUGAUGUUAGCGGCGGACGGGUUAGUAACACGUGGAUAACCUCCCUAUAUGACUGGGAUAACUUCGGGAAACCGGAGCUACUACCGGAUAAUAUUUUGAACCGCAUGGUUCAAAAGUGAAAGACGGUCUUGCUGUCACUUAUAGAUGGAUCCGCGCUGCAUUAGCUAGUUGGUAAGGUAACGGCUUACCAAGGCAACGAUGCAUAGCCGACCUGAGAGGGUGAUCGGCCACACUGGAACUGAGACACGGUCAAGACUCCUAAGGGAGGCAGCAGUAGGGAAUCUUACGCAAUGGGCGAAAGCAUGACGGAGCAACGCCGCGUGAGUGAUGAAGGUCUUCGGAGCGUAAAACUCUGUUAUGAGGGAAGAACAUAUGUGUAAGUAACUGUGCACAGAUUGACGGUACCUAAUCAGAAAGCAACGGCUAACUACGUG
rnacentral:rRNA from 1 species